UACGUAGGGGGCGAGCGUUGUCCGGAAUUAUUGGGCGUAAAGAGCUCGUAGGCGGUGUGUCACGUCGGCCGUGAAAACCUGCAGCUUAACUGUGGGCGUGCGGUCGAUACGGGCAUCACUGGAGUUCGGCAGGGGAGACUGGAAUUCCUGGUGUAGCGGUGAAAUGCGCAGAUAUCAGGAGGAACACCGGUGGCGAAGGCGGGUCUCUGGGCCGUAACUGACGCUGAGGAGCGAAAGCAUGGGGAGCGAACAGG
rnacentral:rRNA from 1 species